UAUCAAUUAACAAAUCCCAAAAUUCUCACAUACAAAACUUCAUUCUCACCGUCAAUUCAAAAUGAUCUCUUUAGCUCUCUAUCUUCUUUCUUCUUGUCUUUCUAAUAGUCUGAUAUUUUUCUCCUUUUUCGUCUCUUUCUUCAUUUUGGUUAGCUCCAAGAAUGCCUACAAAAUAGCUCUUCGAAAAUGCAUGAUUCAACUUCUAUUUCAGAAAAUCUAAUGCCAGCGAUUAGCAUGAUAUUGAUUUCAGGAGGUGUUGGUUUUAGGACAUAAAUUUUGGGAUUGGAGAAGCUUCUAAGUGGGUCAAGGGGAAGCAAUUGGAAGAAGUUGUGGCCAUUAAAAACACAUAUGGGAUUGGUGGCAAAAAGAUAGCUUUUGUGGGACUAUUUGAACUCAAAUAAUUUUCUAUAAAGUUUGGAAGCUAAGACAUCAUUUGUAUAUAAAUGGUUGUAAUUACUUUGUGAACAUCUUUAUUGCAUUUUGAGAUUGUAUGGAUUUAUUUAUUUAUUUAUGGAUUUGGUUAGA